AGCAGCCGCGGUAAUUCCAGCUCCAAUAGCGUAUAUUAAAGUUGUUGCAGUUAAAAAGCUCGUAGUUGAAUUUCGGGAUCAAUUAAUCGGUCGUGCCUCUGGUACGCACUGGUUUUAUUGGUUUCUCCCUUCUGACGAACCAGGAUGUCAUUAAUUUGGUGUCUUGGAGAAUCAGGACUGUUACUUUGAAAAAAUUAGAGUGUUUAAAGCAGGCUAACGCUUGAAUACAUUAGCAUGGAAUAAUGAAAUAGGACGUUUGAUCCUAUUUUGUUGGUUUCUAGGAUCGACGUAAUGAUUAAUAGGGAUAGUUGGGGGCAUUAGUAUUCAAUUGUCAGAGGUGAAAUUCUUGGAUUUAUUGAAGACUAACUACUGCGAAAGCAUUUGCCAAGGAUGUUUUCAUUAAUCAAGAACGAAAGUUAGGGGAUCGAAGACGAUCAGAUACCGUCGUAG
rnacentral:rRNA from 1 species